rnacentral:rRNA from 1 species
GGAGUUAGCCGGUGCUUCUUCUGUGAGUGAUGUCCUUCCUGCCGGCUAUUAACCCGCAGGCCUUCUUCCUCACUGAAAGUGCUUUACAACCCGAAGGCCUUCUUCACACACGCGGCAUGGCUGGAUCAGGGUUGCCCCCAUUGUCCAAUAUUCCCCACUGCUGCCUCCCGUAGGAGUCUGGGCCGUGUCUCAGUCCCAGUGUGGCUGAUCAUCCUCUCAGACCAGCUACGGAUCGUCGCCUUGGUGAGCCGUUACCUCACCAACCAGCUAAUCCGACAUAGGCUCAUCCGAUAGCGCGAGGCCCGAAGGUCCCCCGCUUUCCCCCGUAGGGCGUAUGCGGUAUUAGCCUGGGUUUCCCCAGGUUAUCCCCCACUACCGGGCAGAUUCCUAUGCAUUACUCACCCGUCCGCCGCUCGCCACCAGGGAGCAAGCUCCCCGUGCUGCCGCUCGACUUGCAUGUGUUAGGCCUGCCGCCAGCGUUCAAUCUGAGCCAGAACACAACUNNANGCGGCGCGUGACGACGGCGCUAG